GACGAACGCUGGCGGCGUGCUUAACACAUGCGAGUCGAACGGAAAGGCCCUGCUUUUGUGGGGUGCUCGAGUGGCGAACGGGUGAGUAACACGUGAGUAACCUGCCCUUGACUUUGGGAUAACUUCAGGAAACUGGGGCUAAUACCGGAUAGGAGCUCCUGCUGCAUGGUGGGGGUUGGAAAGUUUCGGCGGUUGUGGAUGGACUCGCGGCUUAUCAGCUUGUUGGUGGGGUAGUGGCUUACCAAGGCUUUGACGGGUAGCCGGCCUGAGAGGGUGACCGGCCACAUUGGGACUGAGAUACGGCCCAGACUCCUACGGGAGGCAGCAGUGGGGAAUAUUGCAAAAUGGGCGGAAGCCUGAUGCAGCAACGCCGCGUGCGGGAUGACGGCCUUCGGGUUGUAAACCGCUUUCGCCUGUGACGAAGCGUGAGUGACGGUAAUGGGUAAAGAAGCACCGGCUAACUACGUG
rnacentral:rRNA from 1 species